rnacentral:lncRNA from 1 species
CAGAGCUCUGGUGGUUCCUGAUUAUCCAAGUCAAAUAUAUCCUUUGAAAUUCAAAGGAAAACCAUUCCCUUUUAAGCACCAGCUCUUGGAAUGGGGCUCAAAGGGCCAACCCCUGGGAUUUGCUGAAGUGGAUUCAGCCAACACAGUGAAGCCAUAAUGAGGAAGAGCAGAGCCGCUGUGGAGGAGACGGAGGGCUAAGGGUGGGCAGCUGGUGCUGAUCGACCAGACGACCUUUAAAGGAAGUUUGCAGGCUGCCUCCUGUGCCCGCAAGCCACCAGUAGCUGAGGCCAGAAUGAUGUCUGAGGGGAGAGACAGAAUCUCAUCAUCUUGGCUUAAAUUCAGAAUCCGUACCAGAUGCAACCAGCCACGAACUCAACGCAGUAUUCCACUGAAGAGUGUACUAGGGAGGUGGGUGCCGACUU